UACGGGGGGGGGCAAGCGUUGUUCGGAAUUACUGGGCGUAAAGGGCUCGUAGGCGGCCAACUAAGUCAGACGUGAAAUCCCCAGGCUUAACCUGGGAACUGCGUCUGAUACUGGAUGGCUUGAAUUCGGGAGAGGGAUGCAGAAUUCCAGGUGUAGCGGUGAAAUGCGUAGAUAUCUGGAGGAACACCGGUGGCGAAGGCGGCAUCCUGGACCGACACUGACGCUGAGGAGCGAAAGCCAGGGGAGCAAACGGG
rnacentral:rRNA from 1 species